rnacentral:rRNA from 1 species
AGCUACAGACAUAUCACCCUGCAGCCCAAGACUGGUUACUCAAAGAAGCUAAGCAGGGUUGAGCCUGGCCAGCACCUGGAAGGGACUGGGAGACCACAUGGGAAAACUAGGUUGCUGUUGGAA